AGGCGCGUAGCUCAGCCCGGUUAGAGCACCACCUUGACAUGGUGGGGGUCGUUGGUUCGAAUCCAAUCGCGCCUACCA
rnacentral:tRNA from 1 species